GGAUGCGAUCAUACUACGCUUAUGUAUCGGAUCCCAGAACUUUGAAGUUAAGCAUGCUUCGGCGAGAAUAAUACUAGGGCAGUGACCCCUGGGAAGUUCUCGUGUUGCAUCUC
rnacentral:rRNA from 1 species